ensembl:lncRNA
ACAAAGCUGCUUAUUCAAAUACAGUAACUAACCAUGGGCAGUACAUCAGGAGCAUAUUCACAAAGUGGAAGAAAAUGAUAGCUAAAAGCCACUCACAAUCCUAUGUAUUCAUAGUUCGUUAAUUUAUAUGCGUGAACGUUUUCCCACAGGGUAAGUGCUGCUGGAGAAUGUUUAACCACUUGUUGGCUGACAGACCGACAAGGCCCUAACCCUACCCUUACAAGCAUCAGGGAGCAAAGCAGACAGACAGCACAUAAUAUCAGCAGGAGCUAUUUGCUGAAAGGAUUGUCUUCGGGGUAACAUCUGAAUAAGGUAUUU